UACGUAGGGUGCAAGCGUUAAUCGGAAUUACUGGGCGUAAAGCGUGCGCAGGCGGUUUUGUAAGUCAGAUGUGAAAUCCCCGGGCUUAACCUGGGAACUGCGUUUGAUACUGGAUGGCUUGAGUUCGGGAGAGGGAUGCGGAAUUCCAGGUGUAGCGGUGAAAUGCGUAGAUAUCUGGAGGAACACCGGUGGCGAAGGCGGCAUCCUGGACCGAUACUGACGCUGAGGAGCGAAAGCCAGGGGAGCAAACGGG
rnacentral:rRNA from 1 species